UCGGCCGAGAACCAAAAGAAAAUAAAUCAGCAAUCACAAUAUAAAAUGGUCAAAAGUGACAUACUAUAAAGAAAUAUGCAGUCACCUUAAUGUAUAGCAAG